rnacentral:rRNA from 1 species
UGGGGAAUAUUGCGCAAUGGGGGGAACCCUGACGCAGCCAUGCCGCGUGAAUGAAGAAGGCCUUCGGGUUGUAAAGUUCUUCCGGUAUUGAGGAAGGUUGAUGUGUUAAUAGCACAUCAAAUUGACGUUAAAUACAGAAGAAGCACCGGCUAACUCCGUGCCAGCAGCCGCGGUAAUACGGAGGGUGCGAGCGUUAAUCGGAAUAACUGGGCGUAAAGGGCACGCAGGCGGUUAUUUAAGUGAGGUGUGAAAGCCCUGGGCUUAACCUAGGAAUUGCAUUUCAGACUGGGUAACUAGAGUACUUUAGGGAGGGGUAGAAUUCCACGUGUAGCGGUGAAAUGCGUAGAGAUGUGGAGGAAUACCGAAGGCGAAGGCAGCCCCUUGGGAAUGUACUGACGCUCAUGUGCGAAAGCGUGGGGAGCAAACAGGAUUAGAUACCCUGGUAGUCCACGCUGUAAACGCUGUCGAUUUGGGGGUUGGGGUUUAACUCUGGCGCCCGUAGCUAACGUGAUAAAUCGACCGCCUGGGGAGUACGGCCGCAAGGUUA